UGGCGGCGUGCUUAACNCAUGCAAGUCGAGCGGCAGCGCGGGAGCAAUCCUGGCGGCGAGCGGCGAACGGGUGAGUAAUGCUUCGGAAUCUGCCCUUCAGUGGGGAAUAACCAGUCGAAAGACUGGCUAAUACCGCAUACGAACUGAGGUUGAAAGCAGGGGAUCGCAAGACCUUGCGCUGAUGGAUGAGCCGAAGUCGGAUUAGCUAGUUGGUAGGGUAACGGCCUACCAAGGCGACGAUCCGUAGCUGGUCUGAGAGGACGACCAGCCACACUGGGACUGAGACACGGCCCAGACUCCUACGGGAGGCAGCAGUGGGGAAUAUUGGACAAUGGGGGNAACCCUGAUCCAGCGACGCCGCGUGUGUGAAGAAGGCCUGCGGGUUGUAAAGCAC
rnacentral:rRNA from 1 species